rnacentral:rRNA from 1 species
UAACACGUAGGGGACAAGCGUUAUUCGGAAUUACUGGGCGUAAAGGGCAUGUAGGCGGCCUGAUAAGCCUGGCGUGAAAGUCACCGGCUCAACCGGUGGAUUGCGUCGGGAACUGUUGGGCUUGAGUCAUGGAGAGGAAGGCAGAAUUCCUGGUGUAGGGGUGAAAUCUGUAGAGAUCAGGAAGAAUACCAGUGGCGAAGGCGGCCUUCUGGCCAAUGACUGACGCUGAGGUGCGAAAGUGUGGGGAUCAAACAGG